UCAUUAUAGGUUCCAUUGGGGAGCUUUUUCCCAUAUAAACGAAAUGCCCUAGAUGAAACGGCUGACAUUGCCCAUCCGAGUGAGGAUGCAUCUACAUCUUGGCCUCCGUAAGGGUCAUCAUUUGGUUUCAAAUUUUCAAUACUGUGUUUGACUUGUUGCUCAAAAUCAAGAAGAAACCUACAUCUUUUAUUUACCUGGUGAAGAAGAGGAGCAUACUGCAAGUUCUUUAUAUCCUCUCCGGGGAAAAAGAUAGGUACGCUGUACGUUUCAGGGAGAUUACUGAUAUAUGGCCACCAAAAGGAUCCAACCUUUGCUCUCUCUUGCAGAAGCUUCACACCCAAUUUCAUUGCCCAAAGUUCCUCAGGAACUUUUUGAGCCAAAUUAAUCAACACAGAAGUAGCCCCAUCUGCAUUCUCGUACUCAAGAGGCCCAAAUUUCAAGGGUAUGUGAUCAGGUAGAACAAUAAGCUCAGACCCCUUUGGAAUUGCUUGAGUGGCAAUUAAACCGAAACCGUUGUUCCCGUCUUGCAAUAUCUUCACUGCCUGGUGCACGAACCCACCUUCACGCCUGACCCAUUUAAUGAGGUCUGGUGGGUGAGGAACCAGGCG
rnacentral:misc_RNA from 1 species